GAGGGACCAUGAGUGUGGAAGGCUGCGUAUAUCAGACUUCUUUGGAUACAUUGGAGAAUGAUCUUUGGAUUGGGAAAGAUAAACGAAACAUCACUAGCAAGGAACCCAAAUGCUCUGGCUAGGGGAGGAAGGAGACUGAGCAACUGAACUUGAUAUACACUUUCAUUUCCUUGCUAUUGAGAAGAAAUCAUGUGAUUUGUAGUUACCGUUUGUCCCAGUUCAAAGGUGAGUAGAAUUUGCCAAAUAAUUGUCCGGGAGACAGAGGAGAGGGAAUGUUUCCACAAGAUGUAGCACUAAGCAUUGUCUUCCGUGGGAAGUUCUCUGCAAGUACAUGUACAUGCAAGGGUAGAUGAUACAACCUCCUGUAGUAGAGUUACAUUUAGUAGACUGCAGAUACAUUUGAUGUUUUGGAUGUGAUACUCGCCUACAUACAUUCCAUGGCCCUGUUCAGUCAAGCAGGGCUCUGCUAAAUAGGAAUCAUCCUUGCCCAUCAACCUGGGGACGCUGUCUUUCUUCUCAAUGUUGUUGUUCAGUCAUUUCAGUUUUGUCUGACUCUCCAUGACUCCAUUUGAGGUUUUC